rnacentral:rRNA from 1 species
CCUACGGGAGGCAGCAGUGGGGAAUAUUGCACAAUGGGGGAAACCCUGAUGCAGCGACGCCGCGUGAGUGAAGAAGUAAUUCGUUAUGUAAAGCUCUAUCAGCAGGGAAGAAAAUGACGGUACCUGAGUAAGAAGCCCCGGCUAACUACGUUCCAGCAGCCGCGGUAAUACGUAGGGGGCAAGCGUUAUCCGGAUUUACUGGGUGGAAAGGGAGCGUAGACGGCAGUGCAAGUCUGGAGUGAAAGGCGGGGGCUCAACCCCCGGACUGCUCUGGAAACUGGACGGCUGGAGUGCAGGAGAGGAGAGUGGAAUUCCUGGUGUAGCGGUGAAAUGCGUAGAUAUUAGGAGGAACACCAGUGGCGAAGGCGGCUUACUGGACUGUAACUGACGUUGAGGCUCGAAAGCGUGGGGAGCAAACAGGAUUAGAUACCCCUGUAGUC